rnacentral:rRNA from 1 species
GACAGAGGGUGCGAACGUUGCUCGGAAUUACUGGGAGUAAAGCGCGUGUAGGCGGGUGAUCAAGUCAGGUGUGAAAUCCCUGGGCUCAACCCAGGAACUGCACUUGAAACUGGUUGCCUUGAGUGUUGGAGAGGGAAGCGGAAUUCCUGGUGUAGAGGUGAAAUGCGCAGAUAUCAGGAGGAACACCGGUGGCUAAGGCGGAUCUCUGGGCCUUACCUGACGCUCAGGCGCGAAAGCUAGGGGAGUGAACAGG